CAGUCGCCGCGGUAAUACGGAGGGAGCUAGCGUUGUUCGGAAUUACUGGGCGUAAAGCGCACGUAGGCGGUUAUUCAAGUCAGAGGUGAAUGCCCGGGGCUCAACCCCGGAACUGCCUUUGAAACUAGAUGACUAGAAUCUUGGAGAGGUCAGUGGAAUUCCGAGUGUAGAGGUGAAAUUCGUAGAUAUUCGGAAGAACACCAGUGGCGAAGGCGACUGACUGGACAAGUAUUGACGCUGAGGUGCGAAAGCGUGGGGAGCAAACAGGAUUAGAUACCCCGGUAGUCCCUGUCUCUUAUAC
rnacentral:rRNA from 1 species